rnacentral:rRNA from 1 species
AUUGAACGCUGGCGGCAGGCCUAACACAUGCAAGUCGAGCGGAUGAAGGGAGCUUGCUCCUGGAUUCAGCGGCGGACGGGUGAGUAAUGCCUAGGAAUCUGCCUGGUAGUGGGGGAUAACGUCCGGAAACGGGCGCUAAUACCGCAUACGUCCUGAGGGAGAAAGUGGGGGAUCUUCGGACCUCACGCUACCAGAUGAGCCUAGGUCGGAUUAGCUAGUUGGUGGGGUAAAGGCCUACCAAGGCGACGAUCCGUAACUGGUCUGAGAGGGUGAUCAGUCACACUGGAACUGAGACACGGUCCAGACUCCUACGGGAGGCAGCAGUGGGGAAUAUUGGACAAUGGGCGAAAGCCUGAUCCAGCCAUGCCGCGUGUGUGAAGAAGGUCUUCGGAUUGUAAAGCACUUUAAGUUGGGAGGAAGGGCAGUAAGUUAAUACCUUGCUGUUUUGACGUUACCAACAGAAUAAGCACCGGCUAACUUCGUG